rnacentral:rRNA from 1 species
GCAAGUCGAACGAGAACGGGUUAUAGCUUGCUAUAACUGUCAGCUAAGUGGCGCACGGGUGAGUAAUAUAUAGGUAAUGUGCCCUAGAGAAGAGGAUAACAGUUGGAAACGACUGCUAACACCCCAUAUGCCUUUAUCCCAUAAGGGAGCAAGGGAAACAUUUAUGGCUCUAGGAUUGGCCUGUACGGUAUCAGCUAGUUGGUGAGGUAAUGGCUCACCAAGGCAAUGACACCUAACUGGUUUGAGAGGAUGAGC